rnacentral:lncRNA from 1 species
ACCUGCAUCUGCCAACAAGACUGGAAGCAGGUGAGGCACACAGAGGGGGAGGCCCGCAGCUGCGUGGGAGGAGGGGUGGUCUGAGGGACGUGGGAUGCCGGGAAAGAGGCUGGUUUGCAGGUUGGCGCAUGGACAUUUUCCCAGAAAGGGACAGAGACGGCGAAGUUUGACGGUCUGGAAAGCAGAGACCAGCAGGGCUGACUGCUUGGGAGCACCAAUUAUCCGGACAGCGCCUCUCGGGAGGUCCGAGAAGAGAACCGCGAUCUGUUUCAGCACCGGGGCUCAGGACAGUUCCCAGCGGGCUCCGUUUCGGCUCCAGAACCCUGGACAGCUCCUCCAGCCUCCCAAAGUGCUAGGAUUACGGGCGUGAGUCACUGCGCCUGGCCCAAGUCCGGAGUUUUCAACAGGACAUGGGUGUUACUGGGCCCAUGUGACAUUUGGGGACCCCAAGGCCCUGAGAAAGGCAGAAAAAUAACCCACGCAGGGACUCUCAGCCCACAAGUGAAGCUCUUGGAAUGCACUCCCUCCACCUCCACCCAGAGCUCCCCACAACUGACCCUGCCUUCUCCUGCAAGCUCCAUUUCAUCAAGGGAAAGGAUCCUUAUUGCCUCACCAUUUCCCACGUGAAGUCUGUAUUGACAUUCUCACAGACCUGGGAUAUUGUGUCUGCAGCACAUACUCCAAUUAUUUUCAUGUUAUCUACUGACAGGUCUAUUUGUCUCCCUGUUACACUGUGAGCUCCGUGAGGGCAGAAACAAUGUUAGUAUUUUCACUGCUGUGUCCCCAGUGCCUGGUCCGGGGCCCGGCACACAGCAGGCAUAUAAUAAGCAUGUGUUGAAUCAAUAAAGGCAUCAAAGAAUAAACCAAUACAUCAAUCAA